UACAGAGGUCCCGAGCGUUGUUCGGAUUCACUGGGCGUAAAGGGUGCGUAGGUGGCAUGGUAAGUUUGAUGUGAAAGCUCAGGGCUCAACCCUGAAAUGGCAUUGAAUACUACUGUGCUGGAGGUUUGGAGGGGGGACUGGAAUUCUUGGUGUAGCAGUGAAAUGCGUAGAUAUCAAGAGGAACACCAGUGGCGAAGGCGGUUCUCUGGGAAUAUCCUGACGCUGAGGAGCGAAAGUGUGGGGAGCGAACAGG
rnacentral:rRNA from 1 species